AGAAUGAACGUUGGUGGCGUGGAUUAGGCAUGCAAGUCGUGCGCGAAGGUGGCUUCGGCCACCGGAGAGCGGCGAACGGGGUAGUAAGGCGUCGGAACGUACCCACGGGUCCGGGAUAGCGGCGGGAAACUGCCGGUAAUACCGGAUGACCUCUUCGGAGCAAAGGUGUGAUUCCGCCUGUGGAGCGGCCGACGUGAUACCAGCUAGUUGGUGAGGUACGCUCACCAAGGCUCAGACGUCGUAGGGGUGUGAGAGCAGUCCGGCCCCCACACGUGGGACUGACGACACGUCGACCCAGACCACCGUACGGGUGCUGCAGUCGAGAA
rnacentral:rRNA from 1 species